GCAGCGCGGGGCAACCUGGCGGCGAGUGGCGAACGGGUGAGUAAUAUAUCGGAACGUGCCCUGGAGUGGGGGAUAACGCAGCGAAAGUUGCGCUAAUACCGCAUACGAUCUAAGGAUGAAAGCGGGGGAUUCGCAAGAACCUCGUGCUCCUGGAGCGGCCGAUAUCUGAUUAGCUAGUUGGUGGGGUAAAGGCCUACCAAGGCAUCGAUCAGUAGCUGGUCUGAGAGGACGACCAGCCACACUGGAACUGAGACACGGUCCAGACUCCUACGGGAGGCAGCAGUGGGGAAUUUUGGACAAUGGGCGAAAGCCUGAUCCAGCAAUGCCGCGUGAGUGAAGAAGGCCUUCGGGUUGUAAAGCUCUUUUGUCAGGGAAGAAACGGUGCGGGCUAAUAUCCCGCACUAAUGACGGUACCUGAAGAAUAAGCACCGGCUAACUACGUGCCAGCAGCCGCGGUAAUACGUAGGGUGCAAGCGUUAAUCGGAAUUACUGGGCGUAAAGCGUGCGCAGGCGGUUUUGUAAGUCUGUCGUGAAAUCCCCGGGCUCAACCUGGGAAUUGCGAUGGAGACUGCAAGGCUAGAAUCUGGCAGAGGGGGGUAGAAUUCCACGUGUAGCAGUGAAAUGCGUAGAGAUGUGGAGGAACACCGAUGGCGAAGGCAGCCCCCUGGGUCAAGAUUGACGCUCAUGCACGAAAGCGUGGGGAGCAAACAGGAUUAGAUACCCUGGUAGUCCACGCCCUAAACGAUGUCUACUAGUUGUCGGGUUUUAAUUAACUUGGUAACGCAGCUAACGCGUGAAGUAGACCGCCUGGGGAGUACGGUCGCAAGAUUAAAACUCAAAGGAAUUGACGGGGACCCGCACAAGCGGUGGAUGAUGUGGAUUAAUUCGAUGCAACGCGAAAAACCUUACCUACCCNU
rnacentral:rRNA from 1 species